UCAUAUGCACCCUGUAGAAUCGAAGUUGUGUGAGCGCCUCAAUCACAAAUUCGUCUCUAGGGGAGUAUAUGGA